CUGGUCCAGCUUAUAUCCAGCUAGGAAGUGUUAAGGUAGUCAGAUUUCUUAUAUGACAUCUGGCUUUCCCUGGACUGAACAUCCCGAGUAGUGGGUGAAAGUGUGGCCUUUUUGACUUACCUGUGGAAGUCACAUAACAUCAUUUCCACCAUAUUUUACUGAUCAGAGCAGUCAAAAACCCAACUAGAUUCAAAGGGAAGGGAAAAUAUCCUACCUCUUAAUGUCAGGAGGGUGGAAGAAUUUGAGUGCCAUGUUUUAAAACUGCUAGAGGUAUGUAAUUAUCCCUGUUUUAUAGAUAAGCAAACUAAGAUCACAGAGCAAGUGAUAGACUUAGAAUUCAACUCAAGCAGCCUGACUCCAGAGCAGAGAAGGAAGAUGCAACAGCACUACCUCCCACGAAAGUAGGGGGAAGAGACAGAUCUCCCAAGAAAGCCUCAGAAAAUGUUAAAGACGGCAGCCUCAGCCCCUCAGGGCAAAGCCAGCUGAGGGCAAGGCAGCUGGCUCUGCUGCGCGAAGUGGAGAUGAACUGGUACUUAAAGCUCUGCGACUUGUCCACUGAGCACACCACCGCCUACGCGACGGGCAUGCCGCACAGGUAAGCACGCAGGUGAGCACGCCGUGAGAAGCUGUCUCACUGCUCUGCGGAGUGAGCGCUUUGAUUUUCCCGUGCUGUGCGACUGUAACAGCCCCGACUGCCUUGCAGAUGAGUGACUGGCACCUCGGAACGAGUAAGCUCCAAGUUCAGGAGCUCGAUGCGCUUGGCAAUAUGCUCUGUAGCGUUCCCCAGAAAACUCCUUGUAAAGCAAGUCUCUGCAGACUCUCUUUCUGCUUCAAAUAGUGCAAAGGAAAGAUAAUUUCACAAAACCAAAAUGUAAUGAAGACGGAGGCC
rnacentral:lncRNA from 1 species